UACGUAGGGAGCAAGCGUUGUUCGGAUUUACUGGGCGUAAAGGGCGCGUAGGCGGCAAUUCAAGUCAGCUGUGAAAUCUCCGGGCUUAACUCGGAACGGUCAGCUGAUACUGCUUUGCUAGAGUGCGGAAGGGGCAAUCGGAAUUCUCGGUGUAGCGGUGAAAUGCGUAGAUAUCGUAAGGAAGACCAGUGGCGAAGGCGGGUCUCUGGACGAGU
rnacentral:rRNA from 1 species